rnacentral:rRNA from 1 species
UACGUAGAUGGCGAGCGUUGUCCGGAUUUACUGGGCGUAAAGAGCGCGCAGGCGGUCGUAUAAGUCGCGUGUGAAAGCCCCCGGCUCAACUGGGGAGGGUCACGCGAUACUGUUCGACUCGAAGGCAGGAGAGGGAAGUGGAAUUCCCGGUGUAGUGGUGAAAUGCGUAGAUAUCGGGAGGAACACCAGUGGCGAAGGCGACUUCCUGGCCUGUUCUUGACGCUGAGGCGCGAAAGCUAGGGUAGCAAACGGGG